rnacentral:lncRNA from 10 species
CCCAGAGCAGCUGACGUGGCCAGUUCUGUUUGAGCUCCAACAUAUUUCACAAAGACAAUCUGACCAUGCCCACUUACUGCCCGGGGGCUUCCUUGCUGAUACUGACAUAUAAGACCCCAAAGGAGCUGCUGAGCAUUUAUGUGAGUACAAUCCGGAAGUCCAGAUGCAGGGAGAGGAGGAACAGAAGACUGGGAGCUAGAAAUUUCCGCUCUGAAGAACAAAUCUAUGACCAAUGGAGGCUAGAUCAAACAGGGGAUCUGCUGUAUUCCUGAGGCUGGAGUGCAGUGGUACAAUCUCAACUCACUGCAGCUUUUGUCUCCCAGGCUCAAGUGAUCUUUCCAUCUCAGCCUCCCUAGUAGCUGGGAUUACAG